AAUGAACGUUGGCGGCAUGGAUUAGGCAUGCAAGUCGAGCGAGAAGCUUAAGACCGACGCUUCGGUUGAUUUCUUUAGGUGAGAGCGGCGAAAGGGAGAGUAACGCGUGGAUCACCUGCCCCCAGGACCGGGAUAGCUGCGGGAAACUGCAGGUAAUACCGGAUGAUGUCUCCGGACCAAAUGGUGCGAUUCCGCCUGGGGAGGGGUCCGCGUCCUAUUAGCUUGUUGGUGAGGUAACGGCUCACCAAGGCUGUAAUGGGUAGCGGGCGUGAGAGCGUGGCCCGUCACACUGGGACUGAGACACUGCCCAGACACCUACGGGUGGCUGCAGUCGAGAAUCUUCGGCAAUGGGCGAAAGCCUGACCGAGCGACGCCGCGUGCGGGAUGAAGGCCCUCGGGUUGUAAACCGCUGUCGGAGGGGAGGAAAUGCAGGGGGGUUCUCCCCCUUGUUUGACCUAUCCUCGGAGGAAGGACGGGCUAAGUUCGUGCCAGCAGCCGCGGUAAGACGAACCGUCCAAACGUUAUUCGGAAUCACUGGGCUUAAAGGGUGCGUAGGCGGCCUGGUAAGUUGGGUGUGAAAUCCCACGGCUCAACCGUGGAAUUGCGCCCAAUACUGUCAGGCUAGAGGGAGAUAGAGGUGAGCGGAACUAAUGGUGGAGCGGUGAAAUGCGUUGAUAUCAUUAGGAACACCGGUGGCGAAAGCGGCUCACUGGGUCUCUUCUGACGCUGAGGCACGAAAGCUAGGGUAGCGAACGGGAUUAGAUACCCCGGUAGUCCUAGCCGUAAACGAUGAGCACUUGGCCGGAGGGUCCUCCAUAGCCUUCCGGCCGUAGCGAAAGCGUUAAGUGCUCCGCCUGGGGAGUAUGGUCGCAAGGCUAAAACUCAAAUGAAUUGACGGGGGCCCGCACAAGCGGUGGAGCAUGUGGUUUAAUUCGAUGCUACGCGAAGAACCUUAUCCUGGUCUUGACAUGUAUGGAUUAACUCUGUGAAAGCAGAGCCACGCCUUCGGGUGGAACAUACACAGGUGCUGCAUGGCUGUCGUCAGCUCGUGUCGUGAGAUGUCGGGUUAAGUCCCUUAACGAGCGAAACCCUUAUCACUAGUUGCCAGCGAGUAAUGUCGGGGACUCUAGUGAGACUGCCGGUGUUAAACCGGAGGAAGGUGGGGAUGACGUCAAGUCCUCAUGGCCCUUAUGACCAGGGCUGCACACGUCCUACAAUGGUACGGACAAAGGGACGCAAACUCGCGAGAGUAAGCAAAUCCCAUAAACCGUGCCCCAGUUCGGAUUGCAGGCUGCAACUCGCCUGCAUGAAGCCGGAAUCGCUAGUAAUCGCGGGUCAGCAUACCGCGGUGAAUGUGUUCCUGAGCCUUGUACACACCGCCCGUCAAGCCACGAAAGUGGGGGGGGCCUAAAGUCGCUGCGCGAACCUUCGGGACGCAGGCGCCUAGGGUCAACUCCGCGAUUGGGACU
rnacentral:rRNA from 1 species